rnacentral:rRNA from 1 species
GAUGAACGCUGGCGGCGUGCCUAAUACAUGCAAGUCGAGCGAACAGACGAGGAGCUUGCUCCUCUGACGUUAGCGGCGGACGGGUGAGUAACACGUGGAUAACCUACCUAUAAGACUGGGAUAACUUCGGGAAACCGGAGCUAAUACCGGAUAAUAUAUUGAACCGCAUGGUUCAAUAGUGAAAGACGGUUUUGCUGUCACUUAUAGAUGGAUCCGCGCCGCAUUAGCUAGUUGGUAAGGUAACGGCUUACCAAGGCAACGAUGCGUAGCCGACCUGAGAGGGGGAUCGGCCACACUGGAACGGAGACACGGUCCGGACUCCUACGGGAGGCAGCAGUAGGGAAUCUUCCGCAAUGGGCGAAAGCCUGACGGAGCAACGCCGCGUGAGGGAUGAAGGUCUUCGGAUCGUAAAACUCUGUUAUUAGGGAAGAACAAAUGUGUAAGUAACUAUGCACGUCUUGACGGUACCUAAUCAGAAAGCCACGGCUAACUACGUG